NNNNNNNNNNNNNNNNNNNNNNAGGGAAAGAUGAAAAGACUUUGAAAAGAGAGUUAAAAGUGCUUGAAAUUGUUGAGAGGGAAGCGAUUAGCGCUUGUGUGUGCCCCCAGGCUUAAGUGUGCCUAACGGCNCAUUGAAUGUGCUGGGUGCUGGUCAGAGUGGGUUGUCUUGGCGGGAAAACAGUUGGGUCCACCCCGGUAACCCGGCCGAUGCCGCCGAGAUGACCAAGGCGUGAAGGUUGCUUUGUCCUUCGGGAUCCGCAUCCUAAAGACUCUGGCAGAAAAGCGUUAAUCGACCCGUCUUGAAACACGGACCAAGGAGUCUAACAUGUAUGCGAGUUGGCGGGUUGAAAACCCGUAAGCGCAAGUAACCUGACUGGUGGGAUGGCCUGUGCCUGCACCAUCGACCGACCAUGUUGCUUUUGCGAAAGGUUUGAGUGCGAGCAUACCUGUUGGGACCCGAAAGAUGGUGAACUAUGCCUGAGCAGGGUGAAGCCAGAGUAACCUCUGGUGGAGGCUCGUAGAUGUGCUGACGUGCAAAUCGCUUUUCAGACUUGGGUAUAGGGGCGAAAGACUAAUCGAACCAUCUAGUAGCUGGUUCCCUCCGAAGUUUCCCCCAGGAUAGCUGGAGCUUGAUCAGUUUUAUCGGGUAAAGCGAAUGAUUAGAGGUUCGGGGGAUGAAACAUCCUUCACCUAUUCUCAAACUUUAAAUAGGUAAGACGUGUCGGUUGCUUAACUGAACCGUCACAUUCAAUGUGAGCUCCAAGUGGGCCAUUUUUGGUAAGCAGAACUGGCGAUGCGGGAUGAACCGAUAGUCGAGUUAAGGUGCCAAACUGCGCGCUAACCUAGAUCCCACAAAGGGUGUUGAUUGAUAUAAACAGCAGGACGGUGGUCAUGGAAGUCGAAAUCCGCUAAGGAGUGUGUAACAACUCACCUGCCGAAUCAAUUAGCCCCGAAAAUGGAUGGCGCUUAAGCGCGCGACCUAUACUCGGCCAUGGAUGCAAGUGCGACGCGUCCAUGAGUAGGAGGGCGUGGGUGUCGAGACU
rnacentral:ncRNA from 1 species